rnacentral:misc_RNA from 1 species
AACGCACGAGACCUGCGGACCUGCGGAAGGAUCAUUAAUGAGAAGCUGCCCCUCGUGGGUAGACCUCCCACCCUCUGUGAACUUACCUUCGUUGCUUUGGCAGGCCCGUCCUCUGGACCGCCGGCUUCGGCUGGCCCGUGCCUGCCAGAGGAUUCCAAACCCUGUCUGUCAGUGUUGUCUGAGUCUAUAUGAAAUCGUUAAAACUUUUAACAACGGAUCUCUAGAUCGGAAGAGCACACG